ensembl:misc_RNA Metazoa_SRP Metazoan signal recognition particle RNA
ACUGGUGUGGUAGUACUCACCUGUAAUCCCAGGUACUCAGGAGGCUGAAGCAGGAGGAUCAGGAGUCCCGCAUCCAGGAGUCCUAGGCUGUGGUGCACUAUACCAAUCAGGUGUCCGCACUGAAAUUGGCAUCAGUACAGCGACCUCCCAGGAGCAUGGGACCACCGGGUUGUCUAAAGAGGGGUGAACAAGCUUAGGUCAACAACGGAGCAAUCAAAACUCCUGCGCUGGUCAGCAGUGGGAUCAUACCUGUGAAUAGCCACCACACUCCAUCCUGAGCAACACAGUUAGACCACCAUCUCU